CGGAGGGUGCAAGCGUUAUCCGGAUUCACUGGGUUUAAAGGGUGCGUAGGAGGGUUGGUAAGUCAGUGGUGAAAUCUCCGAGCUUAACUUGGAAACUGCCGUUGAUACUAUCAAUCUUGAAUAUCGUGGAGGUGAGCGGAAUAUGUCAUGUAGCGGUGAAAUGCUUAGAUAUGACAUAGAACACCAAUUGCGAAGGCAGCUCGCUACACGAAUAUUGACUCUGAGGCACGAAAGCGUGGGGAUCAAACAGGAUUAGAUACCCUGGUAGUCCACGCCCUAAACGAUGGAUACUCGACAUACGCGAUACACAGUGUGUGUCUGAGCGAAAGCAUUAAGUAUCCCACCUGGGAAGUACGACCGCAAGGUUG
rnacentral:rRNA from 1 species